GAUGAACGCUGGCGGCGUGCCUAAUACAUGCAAGUCGAGCGAACGGACGAGGAGCUUGCUCCUCUGACGUUAGCGGCGGACGGGUGAGUAACACGUGGAUAACCUACCUAUAAGACUGGGAUAACUUCGGGAAACCGGAGCUAAUACCGGAUAAUAUAUUGAACCGCAUGGUUCAAUAGUGAAAGACGGUUUUGCUGUCACUUAUAGAUGGAUCCGCGCCGCAUUAGCUAGUUGGUAAGGUAACGGCUUACCAAGGCGACGAUGCGUAGCCGACCUGAGAGGGUGAUCGGCCACACUGGAACUGAGACACGGUCCAGACUCCUACGGGAGGCAGCAGUAGGGAAUCUUCCGCAGUGGGCGAAAGCCUGACGGAGCAACGCCGCGUGAGUGAUGAAGGUCUUCGGAUCGUAAAACUCUGUUAUUAGGGAAGAACAAAUGUGUAAGUAACUAUGCACGUCUUGACGGUACCUAAUCAGAAAGCCACGGCUAACUACGU
rnacentral:rRNA from 1 species